GCUUCCGUGGCUCAGUUGGUAGAGCAACGCAUUCGUAAUGCGUGGGUCGCCGGUUCGAGUCCGGCCGGAAGCUCCA
rnacentral:tRNA from 1 species